AUGACCACCACGCGAAGCUCCCAAUCCCAUCACUCCCAGCCACUGCCAAUAAUCCUAGUCCUCCUUGCAGCAGCAGCAUCAACUCGCUUGAUCUUACAGGCUGCUGCUACUGCAGAACAAGAUGAGAAGCAGCCGAUCACGCUUCCGGGUUGCCCCGACAGGUGCGGCGACACUCUCAUCCCCUUCCCGUUCGGCACGAAGCCCGGCUGCUUCCGCGAGGGCUUCCAGGUCACCUGCAACGACUCCUUCACUCCCCACCGCGCCUUUCUCGCCUACGCCGGAGUAAACCAGCACAUAGCCGAGAUAUACUACAAGGUGGGGUGGCACCAUCCUGUGUGGAGGACCGACCAUGGCAACACGGCCCUGGAGCUCAUAGACAUAUCGGUGGCCGACGGCGAGGCGCGCGCUUAUGGCCUCGUUUCGUCCCUCUGCAACGCCGCCAACCUCAGUGGCGACUACGUCGCCAAGUGCCAGAACUUGGCGCUGGGCGAGAGGGGCCCGUUCCUGCUGUCGGUGACGCGCAACCUCCUCGUCGGCGUGGGCUGGAGGGUGGAACCCAAGAUCAUGAGCUACCUGUGGUCAGCGUACCGGAACUCCACCUAUGAGUUCUCGCUCGCCUGCCUCUCGGACCUUAUGGGCAUGCCCAAGCUCCUGCAGCUGGCGACCAAUGGGUCAUGCUCCAGCCGGGGCUGCUGCCAGGCCGCGCUGCCGGAGGCGGCUCCGCUCACCGACUUCGGGACGUGGUUCAGCAUCGAGGACAACCCCAUGUGGCAGACCAACCCGUGCACCUACGCCAUGGUGGUCGAGAGCGACUGGUACCGCUUCUCCACGCCGGACCUGUACGGCGUCGAGGUGCUGCCCAGGAGGUACCCAAGGGGCAUCCCCUUCGUGCUCGACUUCUCCAUCCGGAACGGUGCAUGCCCGGGGAAAGGCCAGAAACCACCUCCGGACUACGCCUGCGUCAGCGGCAACAGCUAUUGCGCCAACGCGACAGGUGGUGCUGCCCAUGGCUAUGUGUGCAGGUGCUUGGAACAUUACGAUGGCAACCCUUACAUCGCCAAUGGAUGCCAAGACAUCGACGAGUGCAAGCUCCGAAAACUGAAUCCUGAGUUGUAUCCUUGUUCGAGUGAUGGGAUCUGCAAGAACAGGCUGGAAGGCUAUGACUGUCCAUGUAAACUCGGAAUGAAAGGUGACGGUAUAAAAGGAACUUGCACCGAUAAAUUCCCCCUAGUAGCACAGGUGAUUGUGGGUGGAAUAGGUGGUAUUUUUAUCAUCGCGGCUAUAUCAUUCCUUAUUCUUCUUCACAAAGAGAAACAAAAGACAAGAGAGUUUUAUCAAAAGAACGGCGGGCCUACAUUAGAGAAGGCAAAGUUCAUAAAACUUUUCAAAAAGGAGGAGCUCAAGCCAAUUUUGAAGAGUAGCAAUUUCAUUGGAAAAGGUGGCUUUGGUGAAGUUUAUAAGGGCUUUCUUGAUAAUGAAGAAGUUGCGGUAAAGAAGCCAAUUAGUGGUACUAUGCUAGAGAAUGAACAGUUUGCAAACGAAGUCAUCAUUCAGUCUCGAGUAAUCCACAAGAACAUCGUUAGGCUCAUAGGUUGUUGCCUAGAAGUUGAUAUCCCGAUGUUGGUCUAUGAGUUUCUCUCCAAUGGUAGCCUUGAUGACAUUCUUCACGGCAAAAAGAAGGUGACGCUCAACUUGGGUGUGCGUUUAAGUAUUGCUAUCGAAUCGGCAGAUGCUCUGGUCUAUAUGCACUCAAAAACCAAUGCCAAAAUCAUACAUGGUGAUGUUAAACCUGCAAAUAUACUCUUGGAUGAUAAGUUUGCGCCGAAGAUCUCAGACUUUGGCAUAUCAAGGUUGAUUGCGAGAGACAAAAAACACACCGGAUCUGUCAUUGGUGACAUGAGUUAUAUCGAUCCAGUGUAUCUACAAACUGGCCUACUAACCGAGAAAAGUGAUGUCUACAGUUUUGGUGUUGUCAUACUGGAACUUAUUAGUGGGCAGAAAGCCACACAUUCUGAUGGCGGCAGCUUAGUAAACAGUUUCCUUGAAGCUGGGAAGAAAGAGAAGAAAGUGACAGAGUUGUUUGACAAGGAAAUUGUAGUCGCAGGAGAUUUGGAGAUUCUUGAUAGUUUGGCAGCGAUCGCUUUGGAAUGUCUUAACCUUGAUGUGGAUCAAAGACCAUCGAUGACAGAGGUAGUAGAGCGCCUUCUCAUAAUGAACCGGUCUCGUAAGUCGUAA
rnacentral:rRNA from 1 species